GCCCAAGUGGCUCAGUGGUAGAGCACUCCCUUGGUAAGGGAGAGGUCGCGGGUCCGAUUCCCGCCUUGGGCACCA
rnacentral:tRNA from 4 species